GUGUCACACGCAACCACAGCUCCUCCACCCGCCCACCACCACCACUUCCUCCUCCUCGGAUACCCUUACAGGCCUUAGAACACCCUUCGUAGUGCUUUCUUUUGUUUAGUUUUGUCUCUCGCGUCGUUGCUCGCAUUCGCUGCUCGCGCGCGCGUGUGCCAAUCGCAUUGGUGAGGUACCCUCUGAAAGGAAGGAAACCUCUUCGUUGUGGUUCUAGUAGUGGGCAUUGUAGAAAGAGCUUUAGGCUCGGGAGAACAACUCCCCACCCUCUGCACCUGCUCUUUUCUCUUGUGUGCGAGCGUGAGUCUUUGUGCGUGGGAAGGGUGCAGGCACGAUCGCCUGUGUGCGCCGUCCAUCCCAUAUCUCUGAGACGCGCUCGGUAGCCACUAAACACAGCCGGAGACGCACAGAUAGACACACACACAGACACACACAGUCUCACCUCUUUCCCUUUGUGUGUUCGUUUUCGAAUUUGUGCCUAUCGCUUCACUAGGGAACAGAUAAGCGGAAGAGGUGAUGUUUAGCCGUGAACCUUGAACUGCUGGCACUAUCCUCUCCGUUGCGCGUUCGCUCUAUCUAUUUCUCUGUAGCUCACCGUGUAGGAGCACUGCGCCUUCUUUUUCAAGUAGUGGCCGUUAUAUACGUUUACGAUUUGCGUGUGCUACUCUUCUCCAUCGCAUCCACUUGAGGUUGUGGAGGGUGUAUGCGUGGGCAUGUAUGCGUAUGUGUGUUAGCCUCUCCUUGUCUCCCCCUCUUUUGUUCGUAUCAUAGCUCUCUCUUUUUCUCUCUCGUCGUGUUUGCUCGGUCGCUGCCCUUUCUUUUCCCGCCGCCACUUUGCCGAAAG
rnacentral:misc_RNA from 1 species